CAGUUUGCUCUAAUCUUUUGAAAUUUGUGUCAUUCCAUAGCAACUGAAUCAGUUUCCAAGUCCUUGGCAUAUCAUUCCACAUAUCUCUUGCUUAUUUUAUUUAUUUAAAUUCCUACUAACCUAUUAUGAUCAUUCUUUAUUCUAGGCUUUCAUCCUAUCUUAUCUGCAUUAUUCAAUAGCAAAUUCAAACUACUCCAUUUACAGAAUUUCCUCCCCUUGUAAUGAUCCUGCCAUACAUAUCCUCUGAAUCCUUUGUGGACAACAUAGGGUGACUUACCUAACCUCUGUUCCUACUUGCAUUUCCCUUGUUUGCUCCUACCAUAGGGACUAUAAAAGUUAUCUACAGCAGAAUUCUACUGGGUGGAUGUUGAGAAAAUUUGCCUUCUUCUCAAAUGUGAAGUGACAUGGCAUAAAAUGGAGAGUACUGCUGCUGUUAUUCUUCUUCCUGUUUCUCCCGCUGUUGAACAGAAUAAGUGACCUCUCAUUGAGGAGAGAGGGAAGAAGGACGAACGAAAAUGAGGUUUUCUCUGAUGGCAAGUCAAUUUAAGAGAACCCUCUGAUCAAUGAGUGUGCUUGGUUAAGCUCUUUGAAGAUUGGUUUGAACAACAUUCCAAGAAAAGACAUAGGUGCAAAUGCUAUAAAACUGGAGUGCACAGGUGUUUUUACGAAACCAAAAGCAAUGUGGCUGGGGCAAGUAAGCAACAAAGCAAGAAGACUGUGGGAAGAUGACAUUGUGCACAGACAAGAUUAUGUGGCGCCUUGAGGGACGUGGCAAGAAGUUGGAUUUUAGUUUCCUGCAGUAAAAACCUAUUGAUGGUGAUCUGAUUACAUUGAACAUCUCAGAAACAAAAUUAUGGCUGCUGGUUGGAUGAUAGGAGAAUAAGAGUGGAAAGCAAGGAGAUGGAAACUUAACAAGCGGUUGAUGUAAAUUUGGCUAGAGAUGAUGGUGAAUUUGUAAUCACUAAGAGGUGGUAGGAUUCAGGACAUAUGUUUUGAGGGAUCUUCCUGAUGAAUGAGAUGAGAGUGAGCAAAAGAGUGGAGUCAAGUGUGCAUGUUAGUUUUGUUUGUCUUCCCCUGAGGAAUUGGGUUGUCAUUGCUGCUGUUUGCUAAGAUGGGAAAAGCUUAGAAACAAGAACAUAAAAUA
ensembl:lncRNA